UCCUGGAGUACAAUUUCUGUCUUACGAUGGACUACUGCUGGGCCAGACUGACUUUAUGCCUUGCAGAGAGAAAACUCGACAGUGCUUUUCCUAGCUAAAAGCAAGCCUGGCUGAAAAAGGACGUCCAAACUCCACUCAGUCUUGGACUGGGCUAGGUGUAAGCCAACAGACCCAGAGAAGAAGGGGAAAGCUGGGUCCCUAGGGGCUGGCCAUCUCUCUUUCUGGAAUUCAUAUUUCCUGACUUAUUGCACCUUCUUUUUCCUGAGGUAAAAGCACUGGUGAUUGAGGCAGCUGCAGGCAACCCACACAGCCAGAUUCUUAUGUACAGUAUCAUGGGGCUGGCGAUUUAUCUGCCAAUCUGUCUUUCCUGAGUAUCAUUUUCCUCUUCCUGAAAUCAGACACAAAGUUUAGGGUAAUGGAGCAGUGGACUUGAGUCCUGGAGCAGUGGACUUGAGUCCUCAGAGAAGGUUAGGUCUCUGUUCCUGAAUUAUCAUCUCU
rnacentral:lncRNA from 1 species